GGGGAAUAUUGGACAAUGGGGGGAACCCUGAUCCAGCCAUGCCGCGUGUGUGAAGAAGGCCUUAUGGUUGUAAAGCACUUUAAGCGAGGAGGAGGCUCUUUUGGUUAAUACCCAAGAUGAGUGGACGUUACUCGCAGAAUAAGCACCGGCUAACUCUGUGCCAGCAGCCGCGGUAAUACAGAGGGUGCGAGCGUUAAUCGGAUUUACUGGGCGUAAAGCGUGCGUAGGCGGCUUUUUAAGUCGGAUGUGAAAUCCCCGAGCUAAACUUGGGAAUUGCAUUCGAUACUGGGAAGCUAGAGUAUGGGAGAGGAUGGUAGAAUUCCAGGUGUAGCGGUGAAAUGCGUAGAGAUCUGGAGGAAUACCGAUGGCGAAGGCAGCCAUCUGGCCUAAUACUGACGUUCAUGCUCGAAAGCGUGGGUAGCAAAC
rnacentral:rRNA from 1 species